UGGGAAGAAGCUUAACUUGAGGGAAACUGCCGCGAGGUUAUUACUUUAAUAAAGGAACACUUAUGUAUAUCUUUUGUAAGAUAUAUUAAUAGUACUAUAAAAUUUAUAUUUAUAAUGUCACUUUAUUUUUUUAUAAUAUCAUUUUUAUUUUAUUUAUAAGUAGUUUUGUAUGAUUAUAUACAAUAGUUAUUAUUGUUGUUUGUCUUUUAUAAAACAAGACACUUUUAUUAAGCUGAUUAGUUUCAGUUAACUCAUUUAAGUAACAUCU
rnacentral:rRNA from 1 species